UACGUAGGGUGCGAGCGUUAAUCGGAAUUACUGGGCGUAAAGCGUGCGCAGGCGGUGAUGUAAGACAGGUGUGAAAUCCCCGGGCUCAACCUGGGAACUGCAUCUGUGACUGCAUCGCUGGAGUGCGGCAGAGGGGGAUGGAAUUCCGCGUGUAGCAGUGAAAUGCGUAGAGAUGUGGAGGAAUACCGAUGGCGAAGGCAGCCUCCUGGGCCAACACUGACGCUCAUGCACGAAAGCGUGGGGAGCAAACAGG
rnacentral:rRNA from 1 species